rnacentral:lncRNA from 1 species
AGGCCCAUUUCCUGGAUAAGCUGGAUAAUAUGGUACUCCUUGCAUAGGGUAUCCUUGAAAAGCAGGUACGGCUGAGCCUGGAGAAUGCAUUGUCCAAGGUGUAAACAUCGGAUGAAGAAACUGAUAUUGUUGUUGACCAUUUGGAUUCUGAGCCUGGAGAAUGCAUUGUCCAAGGUGGAAACAUCGGAUGAAGAAACUGAUAUUGUUGUUGACCAUUUGGAUUCUGUUGAUCGAAUGGAGGCCUUCCCCCUAUAUUGCCAAAGAAUAUGACAAAAAUAUCACAACUCUCUCAAGAAAGCACAUGUUGUAGAAGAAUAUACAUACCUAAAUCAUCCUAUUCAAUACUCAUAAAUGAUAAGAGUAUAUCCAAGGUCAGAACUGAAAGCAUCCCCAACUGAAUGAAUGUUUUUCAUGGAAAAAAAUAGAUAGAAACUAUAACCUUGAUGACUUGAAGAAUGUAUGUUAAUAUUUGCAAAUAAUAUGACCUCGCCUGGAUGCGGCAUAUAUGAAAGGCAAGUUAUCACAAAGUACCCUUCAUAGGAUUUGCUUCGUUACCUGAAUUACUAUCCGCGCUUGAUUUCAC